rnacentral:rRNA from 1 species
UACGAAGGGGGGCUAGCGUUGCUCGGAAUCACUGGGCGUAAAGCGCACGUAGGCGGCUUUCUAAGUCAGGGGUGAAAUCCUGGAGCUCAACUCCAGAACUGCCUUUGAUACUGGAGAGCUAGAGUCCGGAAGAGGUGAGUGGAACUGCGAGUGUAGAGGUGAAAUUCGUAGAUAUUCGCAAGAACACCAGUGGCGAAGGCGGCUCACUGGCCCGGAACUGACGCUGAGACGCGAAAGCGUGGGGAGCAAACAGG